UUUUAUGGAGAGUUUGAUCCUGGCUCAGGAUGAACGCUGGCGGCGUGCCUAAUACAUGCAAGUCGAGCGAACAGACGAGGAGCUUGCUCCUCUGACGUUAGCGGCGGACGGGUGAGUAACACGUGGAUAACCUACCUAUAAGACUGGAAUAA
rnacentral:rRNA from 1 species